CGGGGUGAGUAAUGCUUGGGAAUCUAGCUUAUGGAGGGGGAUAACUACGGGAAACUGUAGCUAAUACCGCGUAAUAUCGAAAGAUUAAAGUGUGGGACCUUCGGGCCACAUGCCAUAGGAUGAGCCCAAGUGGGAUUAGGUAGUUGGUGAGAUAAAGGCUCACCAAGCCGACGAUCUCUAGCUGGUCUGAGAGGAUGACCAGCCACACUGGGACUGAGACACGGCCCAG
rnacentral:rRNA from 1 species